rnacentral:rRNA from 1 species
UGGGCCCGCGUCCCAUUAGCUUGUUGGUAGGGUAAUGGCCUACCAAGGCUACGAUGGUUAGCUGGUCUGAGAGGAUGAUCAGCCACACUGGAACUGGAACACGGUCCAGACUCCUACGGGAGGCAGCAGUGAAGAAUUUUGCGCAAUGGGGGAAACCCUGACGCAGCAACGCCGCGUGAGCGAAGAAGGCCUUCGGGUCGUAAAGCUCUGUCAAGUGGGAAAAAAAUUCUUUGAUCAAUAGUCAAGGGACUUGAUGGUACCACUGGAGGAAGCACCGGCUAACUCCGUGCCAGCAGCCGCGGUAAUACGGAGGGUGCAAGCGUUGUUCGGAUUUACUGGGCGUAAAGGGCGUCUAGGCGGAUCAGCAAGUCAGGUGUGAAAUCCCACGGCUCAACCGUGGAACUGCACUUGAAACUGCAGGGCUUGAAUCCUGGAGAGGGUGGCGGAAUUCCAGGUGUAGGAGUGAAAUCCGUAGAUAUCUGGAGGAACACCAGUGGCGAAGGCGGCCAACUGGACGAGUAUUGACGCUGAGGUACGAAAGCGUGGGUAGCAAACAGGAUUAGAUACCCUGGUAGUCCACACUGUAAACGAUGGAUGCUAGGUGU